rnacentral:rRNA from 1 species
CCUACGGGAGGCAGCAGUGGGGAAUAUUGGGCAAUGGGCGCAAGCCUGACCCAGCAACGCCGCGUGAAGGAAGAAGGCUUUCGGGUUGUAAACUUCUUUUCUCAGGGACGAAGCAAGUGACGGUACCUGAGGAAUAAGCCACGGCUAACUACGUGCCAGCAGCCGCGGUAAUACGUAGGUGGCAAGCGUUAUCCGGAUUUACUGGGUGUAAAGGGCGUGUAGGCGGGAAAGCAAGUCAGAUGUGAAAACCAUGGGCUCAACCUGUGGCCUGCAUUUGAAACUGUUUUUCUAGAGUACUGGAGAGGCAGACGGAAUUCGUGGUGUAGCGGUGAAAUGCGUAGAGAUUAGGAGGAACACCAGUGGCGAAGGCGGUCUGCUGGACAGCAACUGACGCUGAGGCGCGAAAGCGUGGGGAGCAAACAGGAUUAGAUACCCCAGUAGUC